GCUUAGGUAGUAUACUUAUUACCUUGGUCUUGUAAACCAAAAAUGGAGAACCGCUCUCCCCCAAGCA
rnacentral:tRNA from 1 species